CCUACGGGCGGCAGCAGUGAGGAAUAUUGGUCAAUGGACGAGAGUCUGAACCAGCCAAGUAGCGUGAAGGAUGACUGCCCUAUGGGUUGUAAACUUCUUUUAUAUGGGAAUAAAACGUUCCACGUGUGGGAUUUUGUAUGUACCAUAUGAAUAAGGAUCGGCUAACUCCGUGCCAGCAGCCGCGGUAAUACGGAGGAUCCGAGCGUUAUCCGGAUUUAUUGGGUUUAAAGGGAGCGUAGGUGGAUUGUUAAGUCAGUUGUGAAAGUUUGCGGCUCAACCGUAAAAUUGCAGUUGAAACUGGCAGUCUUGAGUACAGUAGAGGUGGGCGGAAUUCGUGGUGUAGCGGUGAAAUGCUUAGAUAUCACGAAGAACUCCGAUUGCGAAGGCAGUUCACUGGACUGCAACUGACACUGAGGCUCGAAAGUGUGGAUAUCAAACAGGAUUAGAUACCCUUGUAGUC
rnacentral:rRNA from 1 species